rnacentral:rRNA from 1 species
UACGUAGGGUGCAAGCGUUGUCCGGAAUUAUUGGGCGUAAAGAGCUCGUAGGCGGUUUGUCGCGUCGAAUGUGAAAACCCGGGGCUCAACCCCGGGCCUGCAUUCGAUACGGGCAGACUAGAGUUCGGUAGGGGAGUCUGGAAUUCCUGGUGUAGCGGUGAAAUGCGCAGAUAUCAGGAGGAACACCAAUAGCGAAGGCAGCUCGCUGGGACGGUACUGACGCUAAGGCGCGAAAGCGUGGGGAGCGAACAGG